UACGUAGGUGGCAAGCGUUGUCCGGAAUUAUUGGGCGUAAAGCGCGCGCAGGCGGUCCUUUAAGUCUGAUGUGAAAGCCCACGGCUCAACCGUGGAGGGUCAUUGGAAACUGGGGGACUUGAGUACAGAAGAGAAGAGUGGAAUUCCACGUGUAGCGGUGAAAUGCGUAUAGAUGUGGAGGAACACCAGUGGCGAAGGCGACUCUUUGGUCUGUAACUGACGCUGAGGCGCGAAAGCGUGGGGAGCAAACAGG
rnacentral:rRNA from 1 species